GCAGCAGUGGGGAAUUUUGGACAAUGGGGGCAACCCUGAUCCAGCAAUGCCGCGUGUGUGAAGAAGGCCUUCGGGUUGUAAAGCACUUUUGUCAGGAAAGAAAUCGCUCCGGUUAAUACCUGGGGUGGAUGACGGUACCUGAAGAAUAAGCACCGGCUAACUACGUGCCAGCAGCCGCGGUAAUACGUAGGGUGCAAGCGUUAAUCGGAAUUACUGGGCGUAAAGCGUGCGCAGGCGGUUGUGCAAGACAGAUGUGAAAUCCCCGGGCUCAACCUGGGAACUGCAUUUGUGACUGCACGGCUAGAGUGUGUCAGAGGGGGGUAGAAUUCCACGUGUAGCAGUGAAAUGCGUAGAUAUGUGGAGGAAUACCGAUGGCGAAGGCAGCCCCCUGGGAUAACACUGACGCUCAUGCACGAAAGCGUGGGGAGCAAACAGGAUUAGAUACCCUGGUAGUCCACGCCCUAAACGAUGUCAACUAGUUGUCGGGUCUUAAUUGACUUGGUAACGCAGCUAACGCGUGAAGUUGACCGCCUGGGGAGUACGGUCGCAAGAUUAAAACUCAAAUGAAUUGACGG
rnacentral:rRNA from 1 species